UUUAUUUAUUAUAUAUUUAGUUUACAUACUUUAACUAGUGUUUAUGGUAACGGGUACACAAUAUUUUCAUAUUGUACACCCAAAAAAUGCACAGAGUUGGAAAUGAAGGGUAUUGAACACUCGUACGAGUUGUUCUAAAUUCAUUAAUGAUCCUUCCGCAGGUUCACCUACGGAAA
rnacentral:misc_RNA from 1 species